CCUCUAAGCUAGUACGUCAGGUCAAGGUGCAGCCUAUAAGUUGGUAGAGACGGGCUACAUUUUCUACAUCAUAGAAAU
rnacentral:rRNA from 1 species